AUUGAACGCUGGCGGCAGGCCUAACACAUGCAAGUCGAGCGGCUGCACGGUGCUUGCUUCUGCUUUCAGCGGCCGACGGGCGAGUGAUGCCUAGGAACCUGCCUGUCUGUGGGGGAUAACGUGCGGACACGGGCGCUAAUACCGUAUUCGUCCUGAGGGCGAACGUGGGGGAUCAUCGGACCUUCCGCCCUCAGAUGAGCCUAGGUCGGAUUAGCUAGUUGGCGGGGUAAAGGCCUACCAAGGCGACGAUCCGUAGCUGGUCUGAGAGGAUGAUCAGCCACACUGGAACUGAGACACGGUCCAGACUCCUACGGGAGGCAGCAGUGGGGAAUAUUGGACAAUGGGCGAAAGCCUGAUCCAGCCAUGCCGCGUGUGUGAAGAAGGUCUUCGGAUUGUAAAGCACUUUAGGUGGGAAAGAAGAGCAGUAAGUUAAUACCUUGCUGUUUUGACGGUACCAAAAGAAUAAGCACCGGCUAACUUCGUG
rnacentral:rRNA from 1 species